rnacentral:rRNA from 1 species
AUACGGAGGGUGCAAGCGUUAAUCGGAAUUACUGGGCGUAAAGCGCGCGUAGGCGGUUUAGUAAGUCGGAUGUGAAAGCCCAGGGCUCAACCUUGGAAUUGCAUUCGAUACUGCUUAACUAGAGUAUGUUAGAGGGAAGUGGAAUUUCCGGUGUAGCGGUGAAAUGCGUAGAUAUCGGAAGGAACACCAGUGGCGAAGGCGACUUCCUGGGCCAAUACUGACGCUGAGGUGCGAAAGCGUGGGGAGCAAACAGAAUUAGAAACCCCAGUAGUCC